UUCUGGCUCAGGAUGAACGCUAGCGGCAGGCUUAACACGAUGCAAGGUCGAGGGGCAUCGGGUGUAGCAAUACAUGCCGGCGACCGGCGAAAGGGUGAGUAACGCGUGAGCAACGUGCCCGUAUGUGGGGGAUAGUCGAUGGAAACGUCGCGUAAUACCCCGUAACACAUGGAACUGCAUGGUUUCAUGUUGAAAGAUUUAUUGCAUACGGAUCGGCUCGCGUGCCAUUAGGUAGACGGCGGGGUAACGGCCCACCGUGCCGACGAUGGCUAGGGGUUCUGAGAGGAAGGUCCCCCACAUUGGAACUGAGACACGGUCCAGACUCCUACGGGAGGCAGCAGUGAGGAAUAUUGGACAAUGGCCGGAAGGCUGAUCCAGCCAUGCCGCGUGCGGGAAGAACCGGCCCUAUGGGUUGUAAACCGCUUUUGCGGGGGAGCAAUAAGAGUCACGUGUGGCUCGAUGAGAGUACCCUGCGAAUAAGCAUCGGCUAACUCCGUGCCAGCAGCCGC
rnacentral:rRNA from 1 species